rnacentral:rRNA from 1 species
GUUUCCCUACGGGAGGCAGCAGUGAGGGAUAUUGGUCAAUGGGGGAAACCCUGAACCAGCAACGCCGCGUGAGGGAAGACGGUUUUCGGAUUGUAAACCUCUGUCCUCUGUGAAGAUAAUGGCGGUAGCAGAGGAGGAAGCUCCGGCUAACUACGGGCCAGCAGCCGCGGGAAUACGUAGGGAGCGAGCGUUGUCCGGGUUUACUGGGGGGAAAGGGUGCGGAGGCGGCCCUGCAAGGCAGAAGGGAAAUCCAUGGGCUUAAACCGUGAACUGCUUUUGAAACUGCAGGACUUG